UUUGUACUCCCUCCGUCCCAAAAUUCUUGUCUUAGAUUUGUCUAAAUACAGAUGUAUCAAGUCACGUUCUAGUAUUAGAUACAUCCGUAUCUAGACUAAUCUAAGACAAGAAUUUUGGGACGGGGGAGUAUGUA
rnacentral:pre_miRNA from 1 species